UACCUUAUUUCUUCAAUCUAGAUUGUAAAAAAAAUAUACUGGCGGUGGUAGGAGUCAUUCCCCAAUCCCCACCAGAUCUCCAAUUCCAGAUGGGAAAUUCAUCGGGAAAUCGUAAGAGGCGGCGAUCGACGGAAGUAGCAUUUUGCGAGCACCAUUAUUGAGGGCGAUCUCGUUUGCAAUGGCGACGACAGGCAGAUGGAAAGUGACCAGUAGUGAUGAGGGGAAGAGGUUGCAGAGGUGAUGCGGCUACUCUGGAUUGAAGGACGGAUCAAUCGAGGUAAAUGAAAACAGCCAUGAACCAGCACAUCGGUGACUGGUGACUGCAAGAAAAGUUUGCAAUAGAUUAGAGGUUUUGAAUGGAGGAGGGUAUGCCUAUGUUUUACAAAGAAUUAAUUAUAGAAGAGUGCUUGGGAAGUAGAUGCCUUGAAUAUGAUUUUUAUAUGAAGAUCUAAAUUGUGAUUGAUUAAGGUUUGGAAUUAUGAGUCGAUUAGUUAUUAAUUACCUUGAGUUAUGAAUUUUUUGAUGAUGAUAGGUAUGGUAGAUUGAGAUAUGAAUUGUAACAGUGAUGAUGUAUGAAUUAUGAUUUAUGAUGCAGGAAACCAGGACUGUUUAAUUUAAGAUUGUAUUUCUUAAGAUUGUAUUUCUUAUCUCUUGAUGAUGUAUUUUUACUGUUUUAUUACCUGGAGCCUGGAGACUAGAAUGUUCUGGAAAAAAUGAGAAGAAUGAAUUACUGAUGUCAUUUUCUUAGAAACUUAACUUGAUUUUUGAUUUAUUUAUGAUUAGGCUUUGAAUGAAAUGCAAAACAUGGUUUAAAGGAGAGGCAUAUAUAUCUGGAAUUUCUGAUGCAAUUGAAUUUCUGAAUCCAUGUGUGUUUGAAGUAGAUGUUAAAUUGGGGUUUAUCAGGCACAAUCGACCAUGAGGCAGGCAGGCAGGUAGGCAAUCAGGUUAAUUACUUUAGUUACACGAGCCAAUUAGGUGAGUAGUUAAGAGCAUAUAUAUAUUUAGUUUUGAUUAAUUGGCUGUCACCAGCUCUCUUCCAAAACAUAUAUCGGAGCCACAAACUAAUAAAAGAUGGAAAGAGAAGAAUGAAAAACUGUGCGUUCUUUCGUUGCACACCAGGUUUGUUUCAUCUUUUACUUUGUUCUCUCUUUUUUGUUUACUCCAAUCAUUUAAUAAAAUAGUAGUUAAUAAAAUGAACGUCCAGUAUGCCCAAUCCUAUGGUGGCAAUCCCGUACCAAACUAUGCCCCAAGAAAUAUGUCGGAGACCGGAGGGCCUCCCAACCGACGUAACCUCCCUCGGUACUAUUCCAAGAAACCAGAGAAAGACGGGGAUGGUUGCAUUAAUUGCGGUUGUUUCUUAUGGUUCUGCAUCUUCCUACUCGUUUUUAUAUUUAUUCUAGCAGGUAUCAUCGUUUAUACCGUGUUGUGUCUCGACCCCAAACCGUCAGUUUACAAGUUUAAUCGUCUCCAAAUCGGAGAGUUCGAUAUGAGCCCCGACCUCAGCAAUCUUCGUACUGAGAUUGAUAUGACCGUUGAGGCUGAGAAUCCCAACAGGUGAAGGUGGCAUCUUAAUUAACGUGCUAAUUAUCUCCCGCCCGAUUUAAAUUUAAUCUAACCGGUGUUUUAAAGGAACAUCGGGAUAUCCUACGAAAAAGAUAGUCUGGUCGCCGUGGUGUACAAGGGUGCGAUGCUCUGCUCCGGUCAGCUACCAUCGUUCUACCAGGAUCGACAGAACACCACAAUUUUCAACGUGAAGCUUUUAGGAAACAGCACCUUCGGUCCCGUCCUCCACUCGGCACUUGAGGAGAACCAACAUGCCCAAACCAUCCCUCUAGAUAUCUACGUAAAGGUGCCAGUUAUCAUCCGAGCCUGGACAACGCACACACGAGAACUAACCGUUUUUGUUAACGCUAACGUGGUCAUCGAUAAUUUGAAAGCCAAAAAGAAGGUAUCGAUCAAAUCUGCAACGUACAAGUACAAUGUCAAAUUUUGAAAAUACGUAAAUUAAUAUAUCAGAGCACAGCAUCAUUCGCGUAUAUUCGGUCUUCGUCUUUCUCUUAUGAGUUUACAAAAAAAUGGGGGGGGAGCUGGUUAUGGUAGGAAAACGCAGUUUAAUUUACAACACACGGACAUUGUAUUGAUAACAAUUUUUUGACUGUAAUAACAAUUUUUUUGACAUGUUACGUAUAUAUUUACUGAUCAAUGCAUGUAUAUAUUCAGACAAAACAAACGGUAACCUACAUCAACUCACAGUAGAAGAAAUCUCAAGAAACUCAUGCUUCAAAUCUGUCUAGGAAAAGAUGUGGCGAUCCCAGUUCCUUUUAGAUAAAGAUCUCUGAGAGCUUUCC
rnacentral:lncRNA from 1 species